GAUGAACGCUGGCGGCGUGCCUAAUACAUGCAAGUCGAGCGAACAGACGAGGAGCUUGCUCCUCUGACGUUAGCGGCGGACGGGUGAGUAACACGUGGAUAACCUACCUAUAAGACUGGGAUAACUUCGGGAAACCGGAGCUAAUACCGGAUAAUAUAUUGAACCGCAUGGUUCAAUAGUGAAAGACGGUUUUGCUGUCACUUAUAGAUGGAUCCGCGCCGCAUUAGCUAGUUGGUAAGGUAACGGCUUACCAAGGCGACGAUGCGUAGCCGACCUGAGAGGGUGAUCGGCCACACUGGAACUGAGACACGGUCCAGACUCCUACGGAGGCAGCAGUAGGGAAUCUUCCGCAAUGGGCGAAAGCCUGACGGAGCAACGCCGCGUGAGUGAUGAAGGUCUUCGGAUCGUAAAACUCUGUUAUUAGGGAAGAACAAAUGUGUAAGUAACUAUGCACGUCUUGACGGUACCUAAUCAGAAAGCCACGGCUAACUACG
rnacentral:rRNA from 1 species